AAGCCGCUGAAUGGAGAUGAGGUGUUUGAAAGAGAAGACUGCCACCAAACCCACUGAGAUACAGAAGCUGGCUUGUUUUUCAUGUGUAAACCAAAGCCACACAGAAGCUGACUGAUGAGUUUGUAGGCAUCUUGGAAAUCCUCUUAGAACGUGCCUACCAGUCUGGUCUCCUGAAAUCCACCUGGCUGGAAGCACCCUCAAGCACUGUCCCACUUCCUGUGGUGAAUUGUUGCCACUGCCAGAGCACAGGGCAGAGCAGCAGCCAUGGCCCAGCCCCAGGAAUAAGGUGCUGGGGAGGCAAAGUGGGAAUGACAUUUCCUCUGACCCGUUCAUGUUCACUUCAAGGGGAAACCCAGCCCUUUGCAUGCAGCUCCCCAACAAUCCCAGCUUCUCAGAUUUCAUCCUUUGGGAUGUACCACUGGCUGGUCCAAGCACUGCACACAAAGUUACAAGUAUGCAAACAAGUGACAUGACCCAGCUCACAGCUGGUACAGCACCUUGCUGUGUCCUCCCCUCCCCUGCAGAAUUGUGUCGGGUCAGUUAAGAACCAUUUCUCCUUUGUAAGUUUGUGCUGAUUUCUCCUGACCACCUUCUUGUCCUUCAUGAGCCUGGAAAAAAUUUCAAGGAUUAGCUGAGGUGAGGCUGGCAGCCCUGGAGUUCACCAUAUCUCCCUCAGGAUAGGAGUAGCAUUUGCUUUCUUCCAGUCUUGAGCAAAUGCUCCCACUUGCCAUGAUAGCUGGCACACCAAAGGUGGGGAAGCAGUGGACAGGCCCUGGAUGUCAUGCUCAGCAGUUCCUCAUCUCCUCACUGGUAUUUCCUCAGCCAAAUUACACUAAAAACCAGGGCUGCUGAGAUCUUACACAGUUUUGACCUCUGAUACUGAGGCUUUUCUUGCCCUGUGUGCUGCUUUCUCUGGAAAGCAGAGAGCAAUGUGACAUGCCACUCCAAGCUCUGCUGUAAUAGGGUCUGCAGCUCAUUAGAGCGUGGCUUUGUCUUUAAUUGACCAAGGUGCUUAAAUUUAAACUCAUAGUUAAGGACAUUACUGGGUCUGGAUCUAAAGGAGUGAGAGACAUUGCUGCUGUAAAUGAUCCCUCUGCUUCUCCUGGCCACUUCUACAGUCUCUGUUCUGACCCACACUCCUGACAGCCCCUGCAUAUGUGUGGCCCCCUCUGCAGAAAUAAGAGCAGCACUUUAAACCUUUAAGGUAAUUAUUGGUUUAGCUUCAAAGCAUAUACAUCCUGCCUAAAAUAAGAGCUUUGCUCACACCCAAAGCAAGAAAAGCCACAUGGGGAUCUCCGGAAGAGCUGAAGGAAAAUUUCUUUAAAAGCCUCAGGUUUUGAGAGGAUGAAUAAACAUAGGAAGUCAGCUGUUUGGCAUUCACUCUGGGCUCUCUCUGUGUUUUCUAAGUGCCUACCAGCCCCUGAGGAUGGAGCAAAGGCUGACGCAUCUGGAGGGGUUGCUGAAAUGACGAAGCUUUUACUUCUGCAGAGAAUUACAAAGCUAUAGGGCCAUGGGGAAAACAAACAUGGGAAGUCUAAAGAACAGAAAAACCCCACAAAAUUUGACAAGAAAGCCCCCUUCUAUUUUGUAUUUCCCAUGAGCCAUGAACCUACACAUUACUCUUGGUCCCAUUUUUGGCAUCUACAGGUUUCUGAUUGACUUUACAGUCCUCACUUCUCCCGUCAAACCAAAUCAAAGACCAAAUCCCAGUCCUACCCCCCAGAAUUCCUGGACUGGACAGAUAUUUUGGAUCUGAAAGCAAAUCCAUGGGCCAUGGAGCUUGGCAGGCAUUGUCGGGUCUCCUCCGCACGCAGGGCAACACGUGAGGAACAGCAGGGCACUGCCAGGGCUGGGCAGCAGGGAAGGCAUGUGGCAGAAAGACAGUCUCUGUGACCCAUGUGGGUGGAUUUGGCUCCUUUCUUUGGAAAUGCUAUCGACAGAGGCAGACACUCCCUCUGGAUGCUCUGAGCCAGGCUACCAAACCACCCUCACAUGUGCAACGUGGCUCUCUCUGCUUCUGCCAGCCAGAGGCUCCCAUGGGCAAUUCGCCAAGCAUGGAAGGGACAGGGAGCUAAGGUGGCAUUAGGGUCUUCAGUAUUGGCUCUGGUCUAUGCAGCAGCAACUUCAAAAAACAUGGAAAAAGAAAGAUUUGGAGCUACUUUUUGCUCUGUUCCCCACUGGUGGAUGAUCUUGAAGGGAUUUUGUGCCCUCCUGCCAAAGAACUGGGAAGUCUUUGGGAAAUAUCCCUGCACUCAGCAGUGUCCAGAUGCACAAUGUUCAGAGCAGUAUCUGCCAGGAUGAAGGUCCCUCAUGCCUCUCUGAUCCCCCAGCUAGGAUGUGACCUCACCUUGGUGACAGAGCCAGCAACACAUGUGUUGAAAAGCCCCAGCAAUUUCACCCGUGGGAGACAGCAGUGAUCACCUGGGACAGGUUUGCUGUUGGGUGAGCCAAGUCCUUGAAAAGAUGGAAGUUUACAGAGCCCACAUCCUACAAUGCCCCCUUCUCACCAACAGUUAUGUCGGCACCAAGCAGCAACCUUAGACUGCACACUCCUGAAGCCAGUGGUAAUGCCAUGAGCCUGAGCCACAAGAUUAUACAGGAGCAGGAGGAAACCCUUCCUGGAGAAGUGGCCUCUGAAGAUGGUUGACUUACGUGUCAGCACAGCCAACCAGAACUCAAAGUUUACUUCAGCCGACAAAUUUACACUACAUCCCAGAUUUUCAUCCAGAUUGAGAUGUGGCAUACCAUACCUCAGGCAGAUCCAAGACUUUGACAUCAACUCCUGGAGCUGGCACCAGAGUAAUGCUGUACAGCAGCAGAGGUGAUGUCACUGAGGGCAUCCUACUGCUCCUGCACCAUGCUGAGGGGCCUCCCAGGUCUGGUUCUCGAGGGAGGUAUCAGUUCAUAGCUCUUCCUCACCUCAAGACACAGGGCUGCAUCCUGCUUUUCUGCAGCCUACACUAAAGUGGCUGUGGGUUUUUUUAAGGUUUAUCACUGCUGUCAAAAGAGGCAAAUUCUCCAUUGCUAGGCAAAUAAAGCAGAAAGCAGCGGACUUGCAACACACCUUUUCCCCAAAAUGCAAAAUGUCAGUGUCCUAGGAAUUCCUGCUCUGCCUCAUUAUUAUAUCUAUGUAAUGCCAACCAAGAAAAACAUCUUUAGCACAGAAAAAAAUGUAUGUGAUCAAAAAAUACCCUCACAGCUGAAGCACCACAAACCUGCCGUUUUUGAACACAGAAAAGUUUGAUCUGCCAGGAAAGGUACACACAGCACAAGCUGUUAUCCUUGCACUUGAAGAAAUCUCCCCUGCAGGAAGACCAGAAUCUUCAGGUGAAGACAAAGAUAAAUUCUGUUUGGUCUUGACUCAAAAAGUCUACAGGACAAAGUGUCCUUCAAAGUGUCCUGUACUGGUGCAGCCUUCCUAUGAGUAUUUCAAUAUCUGUGCUCUUAAAGAUGCAGGUUUGCAUUUAUUUUUAUUGUGCACAUGAUUUUUUUUAAUAGGAUUCUUGUGAUUUUAUAUUGCAGGAUUGGAGAGAUGUGAAGACAGCCUUAGUUUUUUUAGUCCAACUUCUGUAAGCCAAAGAAAUCCCACUAUCAUCUAAUAUUGGGAGGAGGGAAAUUUUACAUUUAAUGGAUAUUAAAGGAUAAAUUUUCCAAGCAACAUGUUACAUUCUUCCUCCUGAAUGGUAGUUUCUCUUUCCUUUGCCUCUUCAGAAACACUGGGUAGAUGACAGACAAUGAUGCUGUUAAAGCCUGUCUGAGUCCUGCCUUGUUUUUGCAGCAGGAUCACACUGACAGCUCACGUUCAGUCUGUGCUCUUCUACAACCCCCACAUGUUUUUCUGAAGUACUGCUCAGACAGUUAUUUUCCAUUCACAUAAAGAUCAUAGCUCACCUGUUCACAAGGUUUUUAAUUCUGUCCAGCUAGCGUGGCUUUGGGAAUUCAACUUCUGAAGUGUUCACCUGCCUUUUAUCAAACUUUAUCUCACUGAUUGCAGAUCUUCUCUCCAGUUCAAGACAUCAUGCUGAAAUCAUUGCUGUCAAAGUUCUUGUAAUUUGGCCCCACAAAUUAAAUAGCAUGCCACUUGCUAUUUAAUAUGCCCAAUUUAGAGCAGAAAUUUGAAAUUAUGAUUAGACUGUGAAGAUGGAUCCUUGAAGAUGGAUCUCUAAAGCCCUUCUAGUUUGAUAGUUGCCAGCAAACUACUGGUAACGACUCUUUUUUUUUUUAUUUUAUUUUAUUUUAUUUUAUUUUAUUUUAUUUUAUUUUAUUUUAUUUUAUUUUCUAAUAAAGAUGCAUAAGGAAGGCAUAUCCAGUAAUUAGUGGCUUUGGGUUUGUCUAGUUUAGAGAAAAGGAGGCUGGAGGGUGACCUCAUUGCUCUCUACAGCUUCCUGAGGAGGGGAAGUGGAAAGGGAGGUGCUGAGCUCUUUUGCCUAGUACCCAGAGACAGGAAAUGUGGGAAUGGUUCAAUGCUGCACCAGGGGAGGUUCAGACUGGAUUUUAGGAAGCAUUUCCUUACCAAGACAGCAGCCAAACAAGAGGUGGUCAAUGCCCCAAGCCUGUCAGCGGUUAAGAGGCAUUUGGACAAUGAUCUUAACAACAUGCUUUAGCUUUUGGUCAGCCCUGAAGUAGUCAGACAGUUGGCCCACAUGAUCAUUGUAGGCACUUUCAAACUGAAUUGGUCUGUUCUGUUCUAUUCUAUUCUAUUCUAUGCUAUUCUGUAUUUUUACCAGUAGUCUAACCUGUGCCAUCAUUCCCGACUUGAUUGUGAGUCUGUCACCUGGGGCAGCAUCACAACAUCUUCUGUCAAGGCAUAUCACACUGAUGAUGUGCCCUGAUUUAAAGGGCACCUGACCUACUAUAAGAGAAAGUUUGGUUUAACUGGAUAUAAUCUCCCAAACUAGCCACAAAUGUAUUGGCAGCACUAAAAUGUCUCCACAGAAUUUCAGUUUCAUGCAGCGUUUGCUGUUGAUGGCUUUUGAUAGUCAGACUGCUUUUCAGUGAAUGCUGUGGUGGAAGCAUUGUUUUGGAUUUUGACCAUGUCCAUUCUAAAGGUGCAUUAAAUGGUAGGACAGAGCCAGAGAAAAAGACAUUAUACAUUUGGUUGCCCAUGUGAUAUCUACUCGUUCUCACUCCCCAUCUCAGAGGCCACCAACAAGAAUGUCCCCACAGAAAGGUGACCAGCUGUCCUGUACAACAUCUGUGAACACUGCAGGCCGGCAAUGAGCACAGUGAUUCUCAUCCCAACAUUCUUCAACCUCACAUAAAAACCCACCAAGAAAAUAUGCCUGGAAAAAAAAAAAGUAAGCUUGGUUAUUUUCCCAUGCUGCACCACUUAAAGGCAAAAUGAUUUUCCUUUCCCGUAACAGAUGGAAAUAAUUCCUACGGUUUCCAUCUGUUACUGAGUGAUACUGCCCUGAUAAUGCACAAAACCACUCCAAGACAGAGGCAUCGAUUGUACUGAGAAGCACUUCUUAGCAAAUAAAAAUAAAAAAUGUUUCCCAUUUUUACGAUAUAAUUAGAGCAUGAGGGGAAGUGGUUUCUAGCCGUGUUCUGUGAAUUAGCUUUUUCCAUUUUCUGCUAGAUUCAGGAAGGCUUGAGAAGCUGUUAGCAUGCAGAUAACUAAAAAGACACUAAUUCCAAUUUGAUUCAAUCUGAUGCCUAAUUCUCAGAGAAGAAGGAAGAAGCUGCUGAGAGCUUUCCCAGAUGUCAAGUUGCUAUUUUUCCUGCCCACAUAUUUUGCAACCCUUAUGACAACUGUUUCAGAUGUUUGCAAUAACAAAGCCAAGGCCAAUAACAAAUUUAAGUCAUUGGCCAGUGUUAAAACAGUCCAGACUCUCUUCUAAAAAUCCCACCUUCUUGGUUAUAUUUUCAUUCCUUCUGCCCCAGCUCUUGGUGCUACUGAAGGCAAUCAAAGGUUUGCCAGCCAUAUCUGCAUGGAGACUAGGAGAAGAAAGUUCUUUCUGAGCACUUGAGCACAGAGGUCUCCCAGCAGUUUAUACAUCCACCUAUUUUUGGAUGGUUUUUUUCACCACCUUCCUUAGAAGCUGCAAAUUGCAGCAAAAACCUUGGAAGUUUUUAAUUUGCUUUUUCGCUGAGGAAAGACAGAUUUUUCCCUGAGGGGGUCACAAGUCCUGACAGCAAACCUGAUCCAGUGUGUGUUUCCCACAGGGUCACAGCCUCCUAUGGACGUCCACCUCUUCCAGCAAGGAGUCCUCCAGGAGCUGCAGGUGGAUCUCUGCUCUCCUGUGCACCUCCAUGGGCUGCAGGGAGACUGUUCCUUCACCAUGGUCAUCACCAGGGCUGCAGGGGAACCUCAACUCCAGCACCUGUCCCUCCUUCUGCACUGACCUGGGUGUCAGCAGGGCUGUUUCUCUCAUGUAUCCUCAUUCCUCUCUCUGCAGAAGCUUUUUUCCCCGUUCUUAAAUAUGUUAUCUCAGAGUGACUACCAGUAUCACUGCUGGGCUCAACCUUGGGCAGCCAUGCAUCCAUCCUGGAACUGGCAUUGGCUCUGUCAGACAUGGGGGAAGUUUCUGGCAGCUUCUUACAGAAGCCACCUCUAGCCCUCUGUCACUACCAAAACCUGACCUUAAAAACCAAAUAUGCUCUUUGUGCAGUUGCUGGUACCUCUUAUCUUUGAAAAGAUACAAAAUAUUUUUCCAGUAAUUUGUUCUCAAUUUUUCCAGAGUGGGGAUUUAGUGAGAAGGAAUUUAAAAGACAGUUCAACUCUCAGUGAUCAAGGGCUGGCCUCAUGACCCCCACACUGCAUUUGGAGUUCAUGGCAGCCUCACAGGAUCUCGCAACCUGUAGGCACCUCAGGGUCAUUCCCUGUUCACUUUGUGCACAGUGUGGGCAAGAUCUGACCCACUUUACUUGGGAAACAGUUGCUGAAAGUGUGCCUUCAGUCUCUGCCAGCAGGUACCCAAUGCCCCAUCUGCUCAUGAAGCUCAGUGUGUCUUCAGACUCACCACUUUUUCAUCACCUGCUCUUUCGUCAUUGCCUUUUCCAUGAGCAAUUUCCAGCCUUUCCAGGGAGCUAUUGGGUCUGUUUGCCAUCUGUCCUUCUCCUUCCCCUGAGAACACUUGGACAAUGUUUCAUUUACUGCUGGUUUUUUUUAAGUAGGUUGAACAUCUUUUGAUAAUAAAUUGCUCUUGGUAUCCCUUGGAGCCACUUACAUCUCCUUUGGUGACCUCUUGCUCUUUCUGUGCAUUACCACCUCUUAAUGUACACUUUUGCCAUUUCAUUGGUCCACAUCUGACGCCAGAACAAGUCAUGAUCCUGAGUCAUGAUCCUAUUACUCUUCUGGAGAGCGCUUACUACUGCCCAGGAUUAUUUUUCCCCUUAGCAUCACUCUUUUCUCAUUUACAUUCUUUUUUCUCUGUGUGUGUGUGUGCCUGUGUGUGUGUUCUUCGUUUCAUUCCUUGACAUUUCCCAUCUUUACUUCUGGCACUCCCCUUUCUUUUGCCCUUCAAAAACAAAGAUAAUAAAACCUAUUACAGCUUUCUAGAUAAAAUUUUUCUCCUAAUUAACAUUUUAUUGGUUUUGUUUGACAGAAUAAAAAGUAUUUGUGUAUACUGAACACAGAAAGGAAUAAAUAUGGAUAAACUUAGACUCAUCUAGGUUAAGUUAAGGGAAGAGGUGGACAAAACUGUAUUUAAGGUGAUGCACAGAGAAAGAGAGAACAAGAGCAAAUGAAAGCAGAAUCUGGGAAUCUUUUCACUUAGCCAAUUUUUACAGGCAAAAAUAAAGCAAAGUUUUUCUAAUCUGAUUUUAAAAAAAAGUAGAACCGGGCAAAUAUAAAACUUCAUCUAAGACUGAACUUUGCCUCUCUUUUUUUCCCCACGCUGGGAUUGACAGAAUUUUCCAGAUUUCCUUUAUAAUAUUAUUUACUUAAAAACCAACCAAACAAAACCCAGCCCACCAACCAACCAACCAACCAACUGUCCAACCACCAGCUGAGAUGUUCUCUAUGAAUGAUAGCAGUAAACAAAUAGGAAGUAGUCUCAUGAGAUUUCUAAACUCCUCCUGGUUCCUGGACUGACCCCUUCCUUCUUCCACUUUCAUUACUUCAGAGGCCUGUUCCUAGCUUUUUUUUUUUUUAAUGAAGCUAGUGAGAGCUAACAUGGUUUGAGUCUCCUGGAGCCUCCAAUGUCCAUGUUGUCCACUCC